rnacentral:rRNA from 1 species
GCUUCUUUGCUGACGAGCGGCGGACGGGUGAGUAAUGCCUAGGAAUCUGCCUAGUAGUGGGGGAUAACUUGCCGAAAGGUAAGCUAAUACCGCAUACGUCUACGGGAGAAAGCAGGGGACUCUUCGGAGCCUUGCGCUAUUAGAUGAGCCUAGGUCGGAUUAGUUAGUUGGUGAGGUAAUGGCUCACCAAGACCAUGAUACGUAGCCGACCUGAGAGGGUGAUCGGCCACACUGGGACUGAGAACGGCCCAGACUCCUACGGGAGGCAGCAGUAGGGAAUCUUCCACAAUGGGCGAAAGCCUGAUGGAGCAAUGCCGCGCGAAUGAAGAAGGUCUUCGGAUCGUAAAGUUCUGUUAUUAGAGAAGAAAGAUUCAAGGCGUAACUAUCUUGAAUUUGACGGUACCUAACCAGAAAGUCACGGCUAACUACGUGCCAGCAGCCGCGGUAAUACGUAGGUGACGAGCGUUGUCCGGAAUUAUUGGGCGUAAAGGGAGCGCAGGCGGUUGGAACAGUCUGAUGUGAAAGCCCACGGCUUAACCGUGGAAGGUCAUUGGAAACUGU